rnacentral:tRNA from 1 species
GGGUUCAUAGCUCACUUGGAUAGAGCAACUGCCUUCUAAGCAGUAGGUAGGGGGUUCGAUUCCCUCUGGACCCG